rnacentral:rRNA from 1 species
GUAGGUGGCAAGCGUUGUCCGGAAUUAUUGGGCGUAAAGCGCGCGCAGGCGGUCCUUUAAGUCUGAUGUGAAAGCCCACGGCUCAACCGUGGAGGGUCAUUGGAAACUGGGGGACUUGAGUACAGAAGAGGAAAGCGGAAUUCCAAGUGUAGCGGUGAAAUGCGUAGAGAUUUGGAGGAACACCAGUGGCGAAGGCGGCUUUCUGGUCUGUAACUGACGCUGAGGCACGAAAGCGUGGGGAGCAAACAGGGAUUAGAUACCCUGGUAGUCCACGCCGUAAACGAUGAGUGCUAAGUGUUAGGGGGUUUCCCGCCCCUUAGUGCUGCAGCUAACGCAUUAAGCACUCCGCCUGGGGAGUACGGCCGCAAGGCUG